UACGUAGGGGGCAAGCGUUGUCCGGAAUCAUUGGGCGUAAAGAGCGUGUAGGCGGCCAGAUAAGUCCGCUGUGAAAUCUCGAGGCUCAACUUCGAGCUGUCGGUGGAAACUGUCUGGCUAGAGUCCGGAAGAGGAGAAUGGAAUUCCUGGUGUAGCGGUGGAACGCGCAGAUAUCAGGAGGAACACCGGUGGCGAAGGCGGGUCUCUGGGCCGUUACUGACGCUGAGGAGCGAAAGCGUGGGGAGCGAACAGG
rnacentral:rRNA from 1 species